rnacentral:lncRNA from 1 species
AACAAUUCGUACACACUCCACCUGAUUGUCCUUGAUUGUCCCUGUCUUUGCCCACCAUGUUGUGCAGCAGACUUGGACUCUGAUCACAACUUACUGAUCAUGCAAAAACAUUGACAUGGCCCCACUUGUAUACGACCUAAAUAAACAAAUAUAGUGACUUAAUUGGGCGGGGCUCAAGUCAUUCUAGUUUUUUAAUCUUUCCCCACAAAUGCUGCCAUAUUGAGUGAUGUCAAACCUAACGUUACUUCUCGGAGCUCUCAAACUGCAUUUGAUUGUGAAAGUAGAGGCAAGUUUUUUCCAUCCUUUGUCCCUCCCUUCAUGAGUCCUGUUUUAAAUACAGAGCAAGCUUAGUUGGGAGAAGAGCAUCUCCUUCUUGAAUGCACCAGUGACUUCCAUUAGCCAGACGGUGACAACCACAGCGUCUUUUUUACUUGAAGAGGUCUUCGAAAAUACAGAAUUACAGGAAUGGACAGUCAAAGCAGAGCUCUGUUUGCAGUCAUCACAGUGAUGGCGUACAUGGGGAUGGGAGCUGAGGCACAGAACACAGCAGGCUCAGGAAUCAUCUCAAGGGCAAAUUGUGGAAUCACAAAGUUCUGCGCUUCUCAGCCAGAAGGCUGUGACCCAUCUGUGUCUGGAUCCUGUUUCUUCGUCUCAGCCAGUUUAAACUCGGGACAGAACUUUUCAUUCCAGCUUCAAGGACAAUCCAACUUCUACGUCGCUCUAGUGUUGUCCACAACCUUUAUAAUGUUUCCUGCAAACUUAACAAUGGGACAAAUUGACUUCUAUGCGUGUUAUAACAUCAACUACAUCAGCAACAUCAGCAACAUAAUUUCCACACUUGGAAUAACGAUUCCUAACGUGCUGCCCUCUAACCUGGUGAUGGGCUCAGUCAGUGGUCAGACCAUCCAGUGCAUCUUCUCUGCUAUAAUCCCCAAUGCUACUUCCACCAAGAGCAGCAGUACCUCCUUUUUCAUUUCCAUCUACAACGGGACCGUGAUUAAUGGAGUCCCAGGUAUUCCUAAGCUUGUCUAUGUGAGUACUGCAGCCGUGGACCUGUCCAACCCCACCGCCACUGCAACCAACAGUGGUCUACAGCGCACCCUGUCUCAAGCUCUGCUGAUCCUGCUUGGUGGACUAGUUUUCAUCAUGCUGUAAUGUGGAUCUAAGUAGUAAACCACUUCACAUUCAGGAAUCCUGGACCUCUAUGGUUCCUGAAGCCAACCAGGCUGGGUUCCCAAGAAUGAAACUCCUUCUGAGCAGGGGUAGUAAGACAUUAGCCUACAGAAUUAAUCCAGUAAUAUAAGUUUAAUGUUGUGUUUAUAAGCAAGGGCUUUUCAGGUACAUUUAGCAUUGUUCAACCUCAUUACCUCCAGGAUUACAUAUACACGUGUUACAUUUUGUGACCACAAAACAUAAAAGCCUAGAUUAUAUUUAUGUUGUGUUGAGAAAAUGAAUGAGGUAUACACCUAAAACAUCCACCAUGUGUAAGUUAUUUACUUGAGCCCAGUCAUCUUUUACUUCAUCUUGGCUGAUGUCAAGUUAUGAAGGAGGACAAUUUUUCUUUUUUAUAGAUACUAUCUAGGCAUAUUCGUGAACAGUGGCGGCUGCUGGUCUUUCAAAGAGUGGAAGCUCAUUUUCGGCCUACAUUAUAACUGUAACGAUGUUCUUGUGGUGUAGUGUUGGCAAUGAACCAGGCGCUGGCAUAUAUCAGUUCGUGGGUUUUAAUAAACAACAAACAAACCAAACACGAACGGAAAACGAUAACUAAUCUACCGAAUGAAAAUAAAGUGCGGAACAACGCGUCUUAACAGCUAACAUUCAAACAGUACAUCAACACCACUCACCAACACACGAACAGGCAAAACAACAACAAUGAUCCACAAUGUGGGGAGCAGAGGGGAAACAUUUAUACACAUACAAAUGAUGUCAAUUGGGACCUGGUGUGAAAGAUUGGAGACAUGUGACAGUCCGGGAUGUGUUCGUGUGAUAUGGGAACUUGAGAAUAUAUGGCACGGUGGCGCUGCUGCUAACCGCACCAUGACAAUAACCCUCUGAUGGUCUUCAUUUGUAGUGACACUCGGGGUCUUUGGGGUCUUUUGGACCCAAGACAAUGGCAUAACAUUUUUUAACAGAACAAUAUAUAUAUUUUUUUUUUUACAAAUUUAAAUUUACUCUGUUUAUUAAUUUUUUACUUAACAUUUGUGCAGUUUUUGGAGGAUUUAUGAUAUCUUAAACAUUUCUAUGAAUACAUAAAUAUUUAUUUAAAUAGGUUUUUUACAAAAAUGCAUUUUACAUAUAUUUCACUUCAUAAAAGACCCAUUUAUGAAUGAAUUAACAAAAAAAUAUAUUAAACUUUGUGAAACUUAUACAAGGAUUGUGGUGUAGCCUAUAAUUGUGUGAAAUGUAUGAUGCAAAUCGGCUAGCAAUUUCGCCAAACAAAUAUCAAGAAAUAUUGCAGCAGUUUGUCUUUUCGAAUACAUUUGAGAAAUCCGCGAUGGGUCUGAGCUCAAAACAGCUUCAGUGACUUCUUAUACACUCACCUAAAUUAUUAUUAGAAACACCUGUUAAAUUUCUCAUUAAUGCAAUUAUCUAAUCAACCAAUCACAUGGCAGUUGCUUCAAUGCAUUUAGGGGUGUGGUCCUGGUCAAGACAAUCUCCUGAACUCCAAACUGAAUGUCAGAAUGGGAAAGGAAGGUGAUUUAAGCAAUUUUGAGUGUGGCAUGGUUGUUGGUGCCAGACGGGCCGGUCGGAGUAUUUCACAAUCUGCUCAGUUACUGGGAUUUUCACGCACAACCAUUUCUAGGGUUUACAAAGAAUGGUGUGACAAGGGAAAAACAUCCAGUAUGCGGCAGUCCUGUGGGCGAAAAUGCCUUGUUGAUGCUAGAGGUCAGAGGAGAAUGGGCUGACUGAUUCAAGCUGAUAGAAGAGCAACUUUGACUGAAAUAACCACUCGUUACAACCGAGGUAUGCAGCAAAGCAUUUGUGAAGCCACAACACGCACAACCUUGAGGCGGAUGGGCUACAACAGCAGAAGACCCCACCGGGUACCACUCAUCUCCACUACAAAUAGGAAAAAGAGGCUACAAUUUGCACAAGCUCACCAAAACUGGAAGAAUGUUGCCUGGUCUGAUGAGUCUCGAUUUCGGUUGAGACAUUCAGAUGGUAUAGUCAGAAUUUGGCGUAAACAGAAUGAGAACAUGGAUCCAUCAUGCCUUUUUACCACUGUGCAGGCUGGUGGUGGUGUAAGGGUGUGGGGGAUGUUUUCUUGGCCCCUUAAUGCCAAUUGGGCAUUGUUUAAAUGCCACGGCCUACCUGAGCAUUGUUUCUGACCAUGUCCAUCCCUUUAUGACCACCAUGUACCCAUCCUCUGAUGGCUACUUCCAGCAGGAUAAUGCACCAUGUCAUAAAGCUCGAAUCAUUUCAAAUUGGUUUCUUGAACAUGACAAUGAGUUCACUGUACUGAAAUGGCCCCCACAGUCAGCAGAUCUCAACCCAAUAGAGCAUCUUUGGGAUGUGGUGGAACGGGAGCUUCGUGCCCUGGAUGUGCAUCCCACAAAUCUCCAUCAACUGCAAGAUGCUAUCCUAUCAAUAUGGGCCAACAUUUCUAAAGAAUGCUUUCAGCACUUUGUUGAAUCAAUGCCACGUAGAAUUAAGGCAGUUCUGAAGGCGAAAGGGGGUCAAACAGUAUUAGUAUGGGGUUUCUAAUAAUCCUUUAGUUGAGUGUAGUACAGACCGCUAUCAGUCAAAAGGAGAUGCAGUUUGACAGACCGUCAGAUCCUCCAAUUAUCACGCGGAAGCCCACUCCUCAUUCACACCCAGAGACGCUGAGUGUCCAUGGGCAGGACAUAAUCGCAGCAUUUAUCCAAUCACUGUCUACUUUCGGAGCACUGAAAAAAACUGUUCUAAGCAGCCCCAUUGAAGUCAAUGGACGCUCGGCUUCAACAGGGAAAUGCACUGUGACGCUGCGGGAUUGUAUGAGAAGAAAAUCGAGUCAGCCGACCUGUAGCUGAUUCUGAACUAACUAGUUUUAAAGAUGAACGUGUUAUAACACAUUUUUUGUCAUUAAAAUAUUUACACAAUAGUACAUAUUUGACCAUAAUUUUUUUGGACAUUAUAGGGGAAGCCGAGCUUCCCUUGCAAUCUUAAAGAAAUCCCCACUGUUCGUGAAGCCAUCCCUACACAGUAUGAGUUCCUAUGGGGAUCACGGCCUGUAUGAGGCGAAUGUAAGUUCUCACCAAACCUGACCACUGCUGACUAAGCGCGUAUGUAUACAUUUCCAUAAAAAGUUAUUACUAGAAUCAUAUGGCUGAUUUUUGCUAAUAUCUAGGUAUUCUCAGUCCUGUACAUAUUUUGUGUCCCUAUGGGGAUAACAGCCUGCGUGAGAGAAAUAUUAGAGUGGAACCAAUUGGCCACUGCUGACUGAUCACAUAGUGUACAUUUCCAUAAAUAUCCAAAAAAGUAAUCACUAGAAUCAUACGGCUGACUUUAGCUAACGUCUCGCCUGGUAUAUUUGGACCAAAUCUGUCACCAUUACGCAUUGGAUAAUCCAAGUCUUCAUUUGUUUAUGAUGCCCAAUCAAAAACAGCGCUUCGACUAUGUUAAUCACGACUGGAGACAUGACCUCUACAACGCAGGAGUGCUGGGAUGUCAUAGGGGUCAGUCCCAUAGUGACAGUACACAACAUGGCGCAUGCCACAGGUCACCGGUCAAUAAUGGCGAUUACCAACGUAGUUUUCAUACCGUUAAUGCAAGAUAGCUCUUUGUUUUCCACCCAAAACAUUUUAGAACAUAUUUGAUCAUAACCAAAAAGCAGAGGAAAGGUUAUUCUGUCCAGGAACACUUUCUACCAGGCGACGCGAAUGACCAUUCAACUCAGAUGGGCGACUGUGUCAACACCCGUCCAGAUUACAUGUAAGUACAUCGCUGUGUAUGAUGUAUAUUGCUGUAUUAUGUUGUUUGUAUUAUAAAUGUGAUAUAAAAAUGUCCUUCUGUAUACUAUGGGGAUGGUCU